rnacentral:rRNA from 1 species
AACGAACGCUGGCGGCAGGCCUAACACAUGCAAGUCGAGCGAGAUCUUCGGGUCUAGCGGCGGACGGGUGAGUAACGCGUGGGAAUAUGCCUCUUGGUACGGAAUAGCCUCGGGAAACUGGGAGUAAUACCGUAUGUGCCCUUUGGGGGAACGAUUUAUCGCCAAGUGAUUAGCCCGCGUUGGAUUAGGUAGUUGGUGGGGUAAUGGCCUACCAAGCCGACGAUCCAUAGCUGGUUUGAGAGGAUGAUCAGCCACACUGGGACUGAGACACGGCCCAGACUCCUACGGGAGGCAGCAGUGGGGAAUCUUAGACAAUGGGGGCAACCCUGAUCGAGCCAUGCCGCGUGAGUGAUGAAGGCCUUAGGGUUGUAAAGCUCGUUCAGCUGGGAAGAUAAUGACGGUACCAGCAGAAGAAGCCCCGGCUAACUCCGUG